AACUGGUGGCCCGUACAGGGAGCGCUGAGACCCUCUCUCCGACAGUACAAGGAGAGCUGAGACCCUCUCUCCGACGGAACAGAGACGUUAACAGGAAGAAGGCAGCGAACCUGUCUGGGUCCCGGAACGCCUGAUACGUCCCUGCAAACCACCAGACCCCGACCUAGAGGAAACGUCAACCACAGAACAGGG
rnacentral:lncRNA from 1 species